AUUGAACGCUGGCGGCAUGCCUUACACAUGCAAGUCGAACGGCAGCACGGGUGCUUGCACCUGGUGGCGAGUAGCGAACGGGUGAGUAAUAUAUCGGAACGUACCUUAUUGUGGGGGAUAACGCAGCGAAAGCUGUGCUAAUACCGCAUAAUCCCUAAGGGGGAAAGCGGGGGACCGUAAGGCCUCGCGCAAUUAGAGCGGCCGAUACCUGAUUAGCUAGUUGGUGAGGUAAAGGCUCACCAAGGCAACGAUCAGUAGCUGGUCUGAGAGGACGAUCAGCCACACUGGGACUGGGACACAGCCCAGACUCCUACGGGAGGCAGCAGUGGGGAAUUUUGGACAAUGGGGGCAACCCUGAUCCAGCAAUGCCGCGUGAGUGAAGAAGGCCUUCGGGUUGUAAAGCUCUUUUGUCAGGGAAGAAACAGCAGCUCUAACACAGUUUGCGAAUGACGGUACCUGAAGAAUAAGCACCGGCUAACUACGUGCCAGCCGCCGCAGUAA
rnacentral:rRNA from 1 species